rnacentral:rRNA from 1 species
UACGUAGGGGGCUAGCGUUGUCCGGAUUUAUUGGGCGUAAAGAGCGUGUAGGCGGCCAGAUAGGUCCGUUGUGGAAACUGGAGGCUUAACCUCCAGCUGUCGAUGGAAACCAUCUGGCUAGAGUCCGGAAGAGGAGAGUGGAAUUCCUGGUGUAGCGGUGAAAUGCGCAGAUAUCAGGAAGAACACCCGUGGCGAAGGCGGCUCUCUGGGACGGUACUGACGCUGAGACGCGAAAGCGUGGGGAGCGAAUGGG